AUCAACUUCACUCAUAAUUUAACCCUGAUGUAAUGCUCUGUUUAGUAGGCUAUUGCUAACUAGCAUGUUGGUUCAAUUUUGCUUUGACAUCACCCAGAUCUUUCCUUAGUAUCAUUGCUGCUUAAUAUCAGUGCUGAUUCGUGCUGCUCGUGGUUAUCUGAGCUUUGUGCAUCCAGGCUGUCUGUUCUUUGUUCCCUCUGGGUUUUGCUUCCUUCCUUCUUGUUCUUUGGGUACCUUUUCAUUUCUGUGGGUGACAGUCUGCUCACAUCUGUUCAUCUAAAGAUGCUUUAUUUCAACCCUGUGUCUAAAGCUCAGGGUAGUUGAGCAUAGAUGUCUAGGUUGAUAUAGGUUUUGCUCUGUCUUUGAAGGGAAGUGCCAGCCCUCUGCCUCUCCGACCACGCCUCUCUGGCCACCUGUUAUUGUCCUUAUGCUAUCUAAUUGUCAUUCCUUAAGAUUUUGUUUUGUUUUGUUUUGUUUUUGAAACAGGGUUUUACUAUGCAUCUGUGGCUAACCUGGAACCUGCUACAUAGAGUAGGUUGGUUUGAAACCCCUCUGCUUCCUGGGUGCUGGAUUAAAGGCACAUGCUAUUAUACCCCAAAGGGUAGUUCUGCUCUUAUUGGGUGCGGUUUUGUUGUUACUUUUUUUUUUUUUUUUUUGAGACAGUCUCACUAUGUUGUUUAGGCUGGCCUUAACUUCCUACCUUCCUGCCUCAGCCUCUUUAGUGCUAGGAUUGCAGUUAUGUGCCUUCAUACCUAACUCUAUAAGGUUUUUAAAAUUUAUUUUCCCUAGAACUUGUGCCUAGAAUGUACUGGCCUUUGUUUUCAGCUCUCAGCCACCAUGCACACUGCUCUACUCCCACUGUGGUCAUCUUCUAAAGCUGUCUGUGAUGUGUCCGGCUUUUCUCCCCUUACCACUUAGAUUCUAUUUGCUGAGGGUGUGUUUCUCAGACUUACGCCUAUUUGGCCAGUCACUGACGGCCAACUGGGAUCUAAUAUGCUCAGCAUCCUCCUCCUCCUUAAAAGUCUGUAAUUCUUCUUUGGCAUGUUGUUUUUUCUUUUAUGGUUCUAAAUAAUUUUAACAGUGCUAGUUUUCUAGUCUCCAUCAUAUUCUUGGUUUGCCACAAGUUAAUGGCAAGCCCACACAAUUUUGCUUUCUUUCUGGAUCUAAGCAUUGGCUAUUUCCCCAGUGAUGCAGAUAUUUCCCCAUUGGCUUUCCACCUUGGGUUGAGUAUGUGUCCUCUCCGUUUUUAUUCAUGGUAGUUUAAUACGUGUUCAUGCAUACAUUAGAUGCCCAGGAGAUACUGUUUGUUGAUGGUGCAACAACUGCAAAAAGAUACUUGAUCUGUUAUGCAGCUUUUGGUUCUCAGUUCAAAUUAAAGUGUUCCAUCAAGUCUCAGGAAGUAUACACAGCCUGUAAGUCUCAUGGAGCUCCUGAAACUUAGAAGAUUCAUAAUUCCCCUUUCCAAGGUUAUUCAUGCAGCAGUCAUUGCUGAGGAGAGGAGAUUCUCUGACGGGAGAAGCUGGCUGCGAGUCCUACAGGGAACUCAAAGGACAAAGAGUCUUGGAGUCACCACCAAUACUGGAUGGGCAUUUCAGUGAUACAGCUGCCACUGAGUCAUCUCUACUCCUACCCGAGAACUUCAUGAUGGAGCAGCAGAACAGCACAUAUGGAGACACUGGCUUCCUCUUCUUCCCUUGGUUAUAAAGCACUGCCCACUAACCUAGAGAGACCUAUGUUUUGGACACUUUCCUGGCAAGGAGGCCCAUGCAGGAUGUUGCCCCUUCCCACAACUUUCCUCCAAAGGCACAGUGGGACACCUGCCCUUUCGUCCUCCAUCAUCAUUACCAGCCUCCCCAACCUAGAGAGGAUCCUGAUUUUCCUGUCACCGCAGGACCCAACCACAGAGGUGCUUCAAAGCUCUUGCUUUGGUCUGAUGCUGCAUCCGACCCAGUUCCAGGGAGAGGCUCAGAGCUGAGUGGCCAGCUGUACCUACUGUGUUUAAAGCCCAGUGGAGAGUGGACCCAAUAUGAGUUCAAGCCAGUAGGAAAGUUCAAUCUCUCUCCGGAGUCAACACAUGAAGAAUGACUUCAUCCUAUGUUCCCAUCUCGAGAUUAAAUGAGAACAGUGCACCCCAUUCAGUUCUCCCAAACCCAGUUGCCCCCAAGUUGGCCUUUGCCUCAGGUUAAAGGGCCUCGUGCUCAGCACCGAGUUCUGAUGCAAUGACACCAUUCUCUUUCAUCAUACCAGCUCUUAUACUCUUAUCAUGCACUUUUAUUUUCAAGACAUCCAUAGCCUUUCAACUACUAUGUGUGGCAGUGCUGAUAGUCUAAGAUGUGGUGUCCGGAAAUCCCUUUUGAAGUGAACUAAGGGUGUUGGCUGAGAACCAGUGUGACCCAAGCAAUGGGGGAACUGUGUGUGUUCAAUCCUGAAGUCCAUGAGGAAUCCAUGGCAGUGUCCCACCUCACUGCUGGGCUACCAGUCAUGUUUGUGCUGGCCUGGAAGGAAGGGUGUGCUGUAUCUUCAUAUGGUUUCUCUGCCUGCCAUCUCUGCUCUAGGGGUUCUCACACAAGUCUCUGUGGAGGAAGCUAGGAAAGAAGGGGCAGAGCCCUCUGGACUGUGUGAUGGGAAAGAUAAAUUCUAUAGUCUUUAGAUUGGUUCUCAAAUGGACUCAAGUACUCCCAUGACUUUAAUGGAAAGCCAUUUUAGGAGGUCCCACCCUAUGAUGGACCAUUGGAUUUAAUGGACAGCCAUCUCGAUAGGCUAGCAGAUUAAGAAGCACUGGACUUCUAAACACUUAACAGAGGGGCUAGAAUUCCCACCUGGACCAUUGGACUUCAGACAGAAUAUGU